GUUUGAACUCUCAUUCUCUUGGCGCUCAUUCACUUCAUUGAUGACCUGAGCGACAAGGAUGCCAGCAGCCAUGAGUUGCUAAAGGAAGAGUUGAGGCUACUACCGCUGAGCAGUAAGACAAGCAUGUUAACACACCAAAAGAAACCAGCCACUAGGUCCAGUAGUUUGGGCGAUACGGUGCUGAGAAGUCAUACCUUUCACUCCACAUAUCAAGGAAGAGAUGAAGUCAUUGAAGAUGAGGAAUCUCCACGCCAGAGGAGGAUAACUGUUGGUAAAGACGUGAUGUGACCUUAUAUUGUGAUCCACUGCUUGA